rnacentral:lncRNA from 1 species
UCACUACAAACUUACUUAAAACAAACGGAAGAUGACACGGGCACGAUUAAUAGAGGCCAUUAAUUAAUGCCUUAAAUAACACACUUCACAAUUUUCCCCAUGUGCUAGGGUGUCCUUAACUGCUUUCAACUGUAACCUUCACAGUUCUUUCCUAAUGAUAUUGGGAUAGCUGUAAAAUCCAGUUUUCCUUUUGAUGACCUAAAAAAGGCAAAAGGUGUUAAAUGUAAAGAAAAAGUUUUCUUUACACUGUACAGUGAAACACUUUCAUUUGACAACCCAAACAAUAAUAUAAUAAUAUUUUAUAUUAAAAAAUAAAUUAAAAUAUUAAUUUAAUGAACUGUAAAGUGGAUGUAUUUACUGUGAAGAGCAACCAUGCUUUAGCAUAUUGC